UUCUCCUCCCCCUCGUAUGCGUGUCUCUGGGCGGGUAACAUUGGGGGGGUGGUCCCUAUAAGAGGGUGUAACCUAUGGCAGGUACAGGCAUUUGGCUCUUCACAUGUCAUCACUCCAUGCAGCACACUCGGAACUCACAGCCAUCAUUCCUUACCGACCACAGUGCAUUCAAUACACCAUGCCUCAUGCCUGUGCCACCUGGGUGCGCUCUCCUGACGGGCCCUGCACCCCUCAUUCUCCAGCCCUAGUCCCCGGCAGUGACCACCCCAAUCCUGGGGUCCAUCCGGAGCUUCACUCUAGUGCCGGCGGCAAUCGGCAACCUGAUAACCAAUGUAAUGCAUGCCUGCUCCUGAUGAGCGACCAACAGUCGCGAAACGCGUAGAGCUCUAUACCUCAUGCAUUAAUGUAUUAUCACUGCAGUGUCAUGCGAUGUAAUUUCCAUUUUAAUAUGUGAUAUCUAUUUUAUGUCUCAAUAAUAUAGUACAGCUCGCUGUACUCAUUGCAUUUAUAUAUUUGGGUCACUGCCCACGUACCUUGUCCCCCAACUAAUCUGUGAAACAUAUAUGUUUAUCUAUUUCUUCAAUAGUGCAAUAUAGUCAUGGACGGUGCAUUAUGUGAAAGUAAUAAAAUAUUUA